rnacentral:misc_RNA from 1 species
ACAAAUUAUCCAAUACCAACCACUUGUGCACUGUUGAAGUAUGCUUUGGUAGAGUUCUGGAGUGAUCGUGGUAACGCGGUCCUUCGAUCUGCCAGAGUUUUUACCAAUACUAAACAAACAAACGUCUUAUUAAUCUGACUGAACUUCAUUUUACAAAUGAAAAUA